AACGCGAAGAACCUUACCAGGGUUUGACAUCCCGAGAAGGUUUCCGAAAGGAAAUUGUGCCGUAAGGAACUCGGUGACAGGUGAUGCAUGGCCGUCGUCAGCUCGUGUCGUGAGAUGUUUGGUUAAGUCCAUCAACGAGCGCAACCCUUAUAUUUAGUUGGAUUUCUCUAAAUAGACUGCCCCGGUAACGGGGAGGAAGGAGGGGAUGAUGUCAGGUCAGUAUUUCCCUUACAUCCUGGGCUAGAAACACGCUACAAUGGCCGGUACAAAGGGCAGCCAAGUCGCGAGACGGAGCAAAUCCCAUCAAAGCCGGUCUCAGUUCGGAUAGCAGGCUGAAACUCGCCUGCUUGAAGUCGGAAUCGCUAGUAACGGUGAGUCAGCACAUCACCGUGAAUACGUUCCCGGGCCUUGUACACACCGUGUCGA
rnacentral:rRNA from 1 species